CCUACGGGCGACAGCAGUGAGGAAUAUUGGACAAUGGGCGCGAGCCUGAACCAGCCAAGUAGCGUGAAGGAUGACUGCCCUACGGGCUGUAAACUUCUUUUAUAAAGGAAUAAAGUGAGGCACGUGUGUCUCUUUGAAUGUACUUUAUUAAUAAGGAUCGGCUAACUCCGUGCCAGCCGCCGCGGUAAUACGGAGGGUACGAGCGUUAUCCGGAUUUAUUGGGUUUAAAGGGAGCGUAGAUGGGUUGUUAAGUCAGUUGUGAAAGUUUGCGGCUCAACCGGAGAAUUGCAAUUGAUACUGGCAGUCUUGAGUGCAGUUGAGGUGGGCGGAAUUCGAGGUGUAGCGGUGGAAUGCUUAGAUAUAACGAAGAACUCCGAUUGCGAAGGCAGCUUACUAAACUGCCACUGACGUUGAGGCUCGAAAGUGUGGGUAUCGAACAGGAUUAGAUACCCGAGUAGUC
rnacentral:rRNA from 1 species